UACGGAGGGUGCGAGCGUUGUCCGGAAUCACUGGGCGUAAAGGGCGCGUAGGCGGCACGGGAAGUCCGUGGUGAAAGCCCGAGGCUCAACUUCGGGUCGGCCAUGGAUACUCCUGGGCUUGAGCACUGUAGAGGCAGGUGGAAUUCCGGGUGUAGCGGUGGAAUGCGUAGAGAUCCGGAAGAACACCGGUGGCGAAGGCGGCCUGCUGGGCAGUAGCUGACGCUGAGGCGCGACAGCGUGGGGAGCAAACAGG
rnacentral:rRNA from 1 species